rnacentral:rRNA from 1 species
UACGUAGGGACCAAGCGUUGUUCGGAUUUACUGGGCGUAAAGGGCGCGUAGGCGGCGCGGUAAGUCACUUGUGAAAUCUCUGAGCUUAACUCAGAACGGCCAAGUGAUACUGCAGUGCUAGAGUGUGGAAGGGGCAAUCGGAAUUCUUGGUGUAGCGGUGAAAUGCGUAGAUAUCCGGAGGAACACCAAUGGCGAAGGCAGUGCCCUGGCCGACGGCUGACGCUCAGGCGCGAAAGCGUGGGGAGCAAACAGG